AUUGAACGCUGGCGGCAUGCCUUACACAUGCAAGUCGAACGGCAGCACGGGGCAACCUGGUGGCGAGUGGCGAACGGGUGAGUAAUGCAUCGGAACGUACCUUUCAGUGGGGGAUAACGUAGCGAAAGUUACGCUAAUACCGCAUAUUCUGUGAGCAGGAAAGCAGGGGAUCGCAAGACCUUGCGCUGAUUGAGCGGCCGAUGUCAGAUUAGCUAGUUGGUGAGGUAAAGGCUCACCAAGGCGACGAUCUGUAGCGGGUCUGAGAGGAUGAUCCGCCACACUGGAACUGAGACACGGUCCAGACUCCUACGGGAGGCAGCAGUGGGGAAUGUUGGACAAUGGGGGCAACCCUGAUUCAGCCGUGCCGCGUGAGUGAAGAAGGCCUUCGGGUUGUAAAGCUCUUUCGGCCGGGAAGAAAUCGCACGGGCUAAUACCCUGUGUGGAUGACGGUACCGGAAUAAGAAGCACCGGCUAACUACGUGCCAGCCGCCGCGGUAAGAC
rnacentral:rRNA from 1 species